rnacentral:tRNA from 2 species
GCCUUGAUGGUGAAAUGGU